GAUGAACGCUAGCGGCAGGCUUAAUACAUGCAAGUCGAACGGUAACAGGCCUUCGGACGCUGACGAGUGGCGCACGGGUGAGGAACACGUACACAAUCUACCUUAUACUGGAGAAUAGCCCCGGGAAACUGGGAUUAAUACUCCAUAGUCUUUAAUGAUCACAUGAGAAAUAAAGUAAAGCUUCGGCGGUAUGAGAUGAGUGUGCGUCCCAUUAGAUUGUUGGUGAGGUAACGGCCCACCAAGUCGACGAUGGGUAGCUGGCGUGAGAGCGCGACCAGCCACACUGGCACUGAGACACGGGCCAGACUCCUACGGGAGGCAGCAGUAGGGAAUAUUGGUCAAUGGACGAAAGUCUGAACCAGCCAUGCCGCGUGGAGGAUGACUGCCCUCUGGGUUGUAAACUCCUUUUAUAUGGGAAGAAACCACUGGAUUCACUCCAGAGCUGACGGUAUCAUAUGAAUAAGCACCGGCUAACUCCGUGCCAG
rnacentral:rRNA from 1 species